GUUCAGAGAAAGUGAAGUGUGGCCUCUGGUUGGCGCCUGUCUCCCAGCUCCCCGGGGGGGCUCUCUCCUGGGUGAAGGCGCCUCGUCCGGAGUCGGCCGCUGGGUCUGGCAGGGAGAGCAAACGAUAUUCUUUGCAGUACUCCACAGUCACAGAAGAUCCUGACCUUUAUGAUCAAACGGGCUUACCGUGACCUCCCAGGUACGGUUCUUCACUUUGGCUCGGCAUUGCUUCCAAUCGCGAUUGACCCCCAAUUCUUUAAGGUUGUUGGAGAUCCUCACGAACACAUCUUUAUUCCGUACUGUCCCGGCCAGCUGAUCCUGGAUGGACCUGUCUUUCCAAAUGGAC